AAAAGACUCUAAUCGAUUCGACUUGAAAAAGUAACGUCCAAGGAAGAAAAGCAACGAGCCGUAAAGAAAGCCAGAUCCUGCAUCUAAAAUAAAGGAACGCAAACCACAAAAUGCGGCGAAGGGUAUUGGGUGUUUAUCAAACUAUGCGGAUAUACAGAGGGCAAUCAUUGGACAUUUGGUGUUUUAGAAAGUAUAUAAAGCACCAUUGACUGAGAGAAAAGUAUCUUUCGCUAAGUACUUCGAAGUAGCGUCUUCUUCAUCUGUAGAGCUCGUCCCUCACUACACUGUACUGUAGAGAGACUGUUGGAAACCAAGAAACAAAGAUUUCAAUGAAACAAUACUCUAAUCGAUUCGACUUGAAAAAGUAACGUCCAAGGAAGAAAAGCAACGAGCCGUAAAGAAAGCCAGAUCCUGCAUCUAAAAUAAAGAAACGCAAACCACAAAAUGUGGCAAAGGGUAUUGGGUGUUUAUCAAACUAUGCAGAUAUAUAGAGGGCAAUCAUUGGACAUUUGGUGUUUUAGAAAGUAUAUAAAGCACCAUUGACUGAGAGAAAAGUAUCUUUCGCAAAGUACUUCGAAGUAGCGUCUUCUUCAUCUGUAGAGCUCGUCCCUCACUACACUGUACUGUAGUGAGACUGUUGGAAACCAAGAAACAAAGAUUUCAAAGAAACAAAAGACUCUAAUCGAUUCGACUUGAAAAAGUAACGUCCAAGGAAGAAAAGCAACGAGCCGUAAAGAAAGCCAGAUCCUGCAUCUAAAAUAAAGAAACGCAAACCACAAAAUGCGGCAAAGGGUAUUGGGUGUUUAUCAAACUAUGCUGAUAUACAGAGGGCAAUCAUUGGACCUUUGGUGUUUUAGAAAGUAUAUAAAGCACCAUUGACUGAGAGAAAAGUAUCUUUCGCUAAGUACUUCGAAGUAGCGUCUUCUUCAUCUGUAGAGCUCGUCCCUCACUACACUGUACUGUAGAGAGACUGUUGGAAACCAAGAAACAAAGAUUUCAAAGACAUUGCACUCUGCAACAAGUGGACCAGCCCUGCUUGGCUGAAUGACGAAAUUUGCUUCCUCUACUCGAUGAUUGUGGCAACUAGUGAUUUGGCAAUUAAAGCUUUCAAUUCCAGUUUUAUAUUUUGAAUAAAUAAAUAUUCAUUGUAAUUUAGUAUAUGAAUAUUUCAAAUAAAUAUUUUGAAUAAAUAAAUAUUCAUUGUAUUCAGUUUUGUAUUGUUUUUU